AAUUAGUAUGUGUACUUGCAAAAUAUGGACCAAUAGAAAAUUGUAUAUAGUAGGCUUUAGGUGGGCGUCUUAUGAGUUACAGCUUACCUAUAAAGGAACCUACUUAUAUAU